CCUACGGGAGGCAGCAGUGAGGAAUAUUGGUCAAUGGCCGGAAGGCUGAACCAGCCAAGCCGCGUGAAGGACGAAGGUGCCAAGCAUUGUAAACUUCUUUUGUCAAGGGACAAAAUCAGGCUCGAGAGCCUGACCGAGGGUACUUGAAGAAAAAGCAUCGGCUAACUCCGUGCCAGCAGCCGCGGUAAUACGGGGGAUGCGAGCGUUAUCCGGAUUUAUUGGGGUUAAAGGGGUCGUAGGCGGACUGUUAAGUCAGCGGUAAAAGCCCGGGGGUCAACCCCGGCGAGCAGUUGAGACUGGCUGUCGUGAGAUGUGGAGGGGUAUGAGGAAUGCGCGGUGUAGCGGUGAAAUGCUUAGAUAUUGCGCAGAACUCCGAUUGCGAAGGCAGCAUACCGGCGGCGAUCUGACGCUGAGGCACGAAGGCGUGGGUAUCGAACAGGAUUAGAUACCCCAGUAGUC
rnacentral:rRNA from 1 species